GCACUACUGAAGAGUCUUAUACUAGGACGAAACGGUCGUCUAGUAC
rnacentral:hammerhead_ribozyme from 1 species